GGCUAAGGAGUACGUAAGACAACAUACAAUUAACUGUCUCAAACACUGUCAACACAACAACAUGGUUUAUUAGACAACAAUAAGGAAAAUAAUUUCAGCUAACACUACAAACGCUCCAAACAACUCAACACACACACACACACACACACAAUAACUUUGCAAUCACAUCAAAGAACUCAGAAAGUAAUUUAAAUAGCUCGACCUCACCUAGACCAACUUGGCAAAGUGUUAAAAAACCUCAAACAACAUCAUAGACAACUCCAUUAGGUGCUAAAACCCCCAAGCCGACAUAAACCACACUAAAAAAAAUUUCUGAAACCCCAAAAUCGAGGUCCCUAAACAGUAC
rnacentral:lncRNA from 1 species